GUCAGGAUAGCUCAGCCGGUAGAGCAGAGGACUGAAA
rnacentral:tRNA from 1 species